rnacentral:rRNA from 1 species
ACGAACCUCUUGUGAUCCAGUUGUGGCGCCAGCCGCAUCGCUGGGUAGCGAAGUUCGGUCAGGAUAAACGCUGAAUGCAUAUAAGCGUGAAACCUUCCCCAAGAUGAGAUCUCCCAAGCGCAAGCUAAGAAGGGCACUGGUAGACUACCAGUUUGAUAGGACGGGUGUGUAAGCGCAGUAAUGCGUUGAGCUGACCGUUACUAAUUGCCCGUUCGGCUUGACCAU